ensembl:lncRNA
CCCUGUUCCUCUAUUAGUGGUCAUGAAGGAACAGUACUUCCCUGUUCCUCUAUUAGUGGUCAUGAAGGAACAGUACUUCCCUGUUCCUCUAUUAGUGUUCAUGAAGGAACAGUACUUCCCUGUUCCUCUAUUAGUGGUCAUGAAGGAACAGUACUACCUUCGUUUUUGUUUUUGUCUGGAUAGAUUUAGUAUUUUUGUUCAGUGUACAUAUAUGAUGACAUAUUGAAAAAGCACUUUUUUAUUUUUCAUAACUUGAAAAAGGUCCUGUUCCAAUAUGUACAGAUCGAGAGAUAUAUCAGACAGCUCGUGUGAAACCUCUUCUCCUCUUUAUUCAUUAGUUCUGUGUGUAUUUGUUGUUGUUUUUUGUUGUUGUAGAAUGAUAAAUUACAUAUCAGUCUCACACAAAACCAAGCUUACUAAGCAACUAUGAAAUGCUGCAUAUAAAGAUUGUGUCAGAUUACGGUGCUUAUUAUUGUCAACCGCACUUGAUUUAUAUGAAUCUGGAUAAUCAUGUUUGUUCACUGUCUGGACUUCUAGAGUGUUUUAAAUAGGACAUGUUUUUAUACAGACAUAGCUAAAAAGACCACAUAAAACCUGUUGAAAUGGUGACUAUAUUACUGUAUAUUUGUUACUGGUGCUAACAAGAUCUGUACCCUCUUUUUAACUGACUCGGGCAUUGAUGGACAGUUAUGUUUUUCCAUAUGCUGGGUAUAAAUACAUUAUACAAGUGGAUACCAAACCAAUCAAACCCCUUUGUUGUUUCUCAUUGCCUCCUCUUCAAUUUUUGGGAGACGCUGCUGACAAAAUAACACACUCCUCAGAUCGUUGCAUCUCCUCAGAUCGUUGCAUCGUCAUAAAUUGUAGGCUUAUCACGUAUUGAGUCAGAUUGUAGACCUCUACAGAUUAUAAACCUUCUUCUGAUAGGGGCAACCAUUUUGAGUAUUAAUUCAUGCUCACAUUAGUCAAUCAUAACCAUGUAAUAAUAGGCCCAUUCACUAAUACUCAGUGCUUUGCUGGGGUAGGAGCGAACUGGAGCUGAAUACUGCCACCUCAAAUGUUCUACUGCUUGAGCUCCUGUUCCUCUUAUAGACUAUUAGCUCAAAAGUAUUGUGGAGCUCCUACAAAAUACAUAUCAACAGUACCGGUACCGACACUUAGUGCAUUCCAAGUCAAGCACUGCUACUAAUGUAAUCGAUUAGGCAUCUGUUGCAUUGAUCUGUCUUAACAUAUGCUGAAUAUAAAUCAGCUCAACGCAGAUAAAGAUUUCACUGGUGCUUUCAUUUUACUAAAACACAGAGCUGGAAAUGUUUGAUUGUUUGGUUUUUGUCAUCUUUUUUCUGUUGUUUUUCUCUUUGUUUCUCAGGUGUGAGUGAGGUUAUUAAUUUACCCAGGCUUCAACCCAACUAGGGCAUUACCCAGGCUUCAACCCAACUAGGGCAUUACCCAGGCUUCAACCCAACUAGGGUAUUACCCAGGCUUCAACCCAACUAGGGCAUUACCCAGGCUUCAACCCAACUAGGGCAUUACCCAGUCUUCAACCCAACUAGGGCAUUACCCAGUCUUCAACCCAACUAGGGCAUUACCCAGUCUUCAACCCAACUAGGGCAUUACCCAGUCUUCAACCCAACUAGGGCAUUACCCAGUCUUCAACCCAACUAGGGCAUUACCCAACCCAACUAGGGCAUUACCCAGGCUUCAACCCAACUAGGGCAUUACCCAGGCUUCAACCCAACUAGGGCAUUACCCAGGCUUCAACCCAACUAGGGCAUUACCCAGGCUUCAACCCAACUAGGGCAUUACCCAGGCUUCAACCCAACAAGGGCUUCAACCCAACACAGUCUCCUAAAAAACGCUGUCUUCCAAUAGUGUCUUUAACAGAUUCACAAAGUCAAACCAUAUACUUAGACCUUUCCUCUGAGAUAAGUAUGUUGACACAUAGAUUGAAUACAUUUUAUACAAGUAGAAAGGUAUAUACAGUACAUAUAUAGUCAAUUACAUUAUAUUGAAUGUAGGCCGUUGCAAGUUACUGAUGUGGUAGAAAACAGUCACUUUAAAAUGUUUACACCUUUACAUAAGACAGUUUGUAAGAAAAAAUAUGAUCCUGUAAACUUUUGUAAUUUCUUCACUUGAAGAUUUCUCGGAUCUUCCUUUAUGUGUGACUUGAAAAAUGUAACUUACAUCAAGGAGGAAAAACUAGCACCAGCAUUUAAAACUCAAGGUUUUUAUUGGAAUAAAACUUUAUAAAAUACACAUCAUGUGAAACGGACUGUUUUUACUGUACUAUUCAUGGUUUGUAGAUAACGAGCAGUCUUGCUAUUUUGAAACUGAUUUCCAAAAUGACUGUAUUUAACUGUGUAUAUCAAUUUGACAGACUUUUAAAAAAAAUACUAAAUUCAGCAUUCCUGUCAAAGGCUGCUGUCUGGUGAUUUUGAAAUAAAGAUGUAUUUAUAUUUUGGA